rnacentral:rRNA from 1 species
UACAGGGGGUGCAAACGUUGCUCGGAAUUAUUGGGCGUAAAGCGCGCGUAGGCGGCUACUUAAGUCGGAUGUGAAAGCCCUUGGCUCAACUGAGGAAGUGCACCCGAAACUGAGUGGCUUGAGUACUAAAGAGGGUCGCGGAAUUCCCGGUGUAGAGGUGAAAUUCGUAGAUAUCGGGAGGAACACCGGUGGCGAAGGCGGCGACCUGGGUAGAUACUGACGCUGAGGCGCGAAAGCGUGGGAGCAACAGG